AUAUAAAAAAUAUUGUGAUUUAAAAAAUUUAUUUUAAAUUUAUUUUACAUAUAAAUUUUAGUGUUAAAUAAUUCUUUAUUUUAAUAAAUGGGAAAUUUUAUAUUAUAGUAAUUAGUAUUAAAAAUUUAAGAAAUUAAGAUUUAGUAAUAUAGAAAUUAAUAACAAAUUUUGUGCCAGCAGUUGCGGUUAUACAAAAGUUAAAUUGAAUUUUAUUAGUAAUUAAUUAAUAAAUUUAGUUUUUUAGGUAAAAUUUAAAAUUAUUAGGUGAAAUUUUAAUUUAAUUAAAACUUAUUAAAAAUUUAUGAUUUAAUAAUUUUUAUAAUAAACUAGGAUUAGAUACCCUAUUAUUAAUUUUUAAAGAAAGAUGCUAAAAGAGUAGGUAGUUAAAAUUGAAACUUAAAUAAUUUGGCGGUAUUUUAGUUUAUUUAGAGGAAUCUGUUUAAUAAUUGAUAUUCCACGAAUAAAUUUACUUAAUUUAUAAUUUUGUAUAUCGUUGUUAUAAAAAUAUUUUUUAAUGAAAAUAAUAUUUUAAAAUUUUUAUUUAAAAUUAAAUCAAAUCAAGAUGCAGAGGAUAAUUAAGAAUAUAAUGGAUUACAAUAAAUUUAAUUUAAAUGGAUAUUAAUUUUUAAUUAUAAAAUUGAAGGUGGAUUUAAAUGUAAUUUUAUUUAAUUUAAUAAAAUGAUUUAAAAUUAAAAUAUGUACAUAUUGCCCGUCACUUUCAUAUAUUUAAAUUGGGAUAAGUCGUAACAAAGUAGAGGUACUGGAAAGUGUUUCUAGAAAGUU
rnacentral:ncRNA from 1 species